UACGGAGGGAGCUAGCGUUGUUCGGAAUUACUGGGCGUAAAGCGCACGUAGGCGGCUUUGUAAGUUAGAGGUGAAAGCCCGGGGCUCAACCCCGGAAUUGCCUUUAAGACUGCAUCGCUUGAAUCCAGGAGAGGUGAGUGGAAUUCCGAGUGUAGGGGUGAAAUUCGUAGAUAUUCGGAAGAACACCAGUGGCGAAGGCGGCUCACUGGACUGGUAUUGACGCUGAGGUGCGAAAGCGUGGGGAGCAAACAGG
rnacentral:rRNA from 1 species